rnacentral:rRNA from 1 species
AUUGAACGCUGGCGGCAGGCCUAACACAUGCAAGUCGAACGAGUGGCGGACGGGUGAGUAAUGUCUGGGAAACUGCCUGAUGGAGGGGGAUAACUACUGGAAACGGUAGCUAAUACCGCAUACCAUCGGAUGUGCCCAGUUGGGAUUAGCUAGUAGGGUGGGUAACUGCUCACCUAGGCGACUAUCCCUAGCUGGUCUGAGAGGAUGACCAGCCACACCGGAACUUAGAGCAGGUCCAGACUUCUACGGCAGGCAGCAGUGGGGACUAUGGCCCAAGGGGCUCAAGCCUGAUGCAGCCAUGCCGGGUGUAUGAAGAAGGCCUUCGGGUUGUAAAGUACUCUCAGCGGGGAGGCGUUACCCGCUGAAGAAGCACCGGCUAACGCCGGGCCAGCAGCCGCGGUAAUUC